AACGAACGCUGGCGGCAUGCCUAACACAUGCAAGUCGAACGAGACCUUCGGGUCUAGUGGCGCACGGGUGCGUAACGCGUGGGAACCUGCCCUUAGGUUCGGAAUAACUCCCCGAAAGGGGUGCUAAUACCGGAUAAUGUCUUCGGACCAAAGAUUUAUCGCCUUUGGAUGGGCCCGCGUUGGAUUAGCUAGUUGGUAGGGUAAAAGCCUACCAAGGCGACGAUCCAUAGCUGGUCUGAGAGGAUGAUCAGCCACACUGGGACUGAGACACGGCCCAGACUCCUACGGGAGGCGGCAGUGGGGAAUAUUGGAAAAUGGGGGAAAGCCUGAUCCAGCAAUGCCGGGUGAGUGAUGAAGGCCUUAGGGUUGUAAAGCUCUUUUACCCGGGAUGAUAAUGACAGUACCGGGAGAAUAAGCUCCGGCUAACUCCGUG
rnacentral:rRNA from 1 species